rnacentral:rRNA from 1 species
GGGGAUAUUGCACAAUGGGGGGAACCCUGAUGCAGCGACGCCGCGUGGGUGAAGGAGUAUUUCGGUAUGUAAAGUCCUAUCGGCAGGGAAGAAACCAGACGGUACCUGAAUAAGAAGCCCCGGCUAACUACGUGCCAGCAGCCGCGGUAAUACGUAGGGGGCAAGCGUUAUCCGGAUUUACUGGGUGUAAAGGGAGCGUAGGCGGUUCAGCAAGUCAGAAGUGAAAGCCCGGGGCUCAACUCCGGGACUGCUUUUGAAACUGUUGAACUAGAUUGCAGGAGAGGUAAGUGGAAUUCCUAGUGUAGCGGUGAAAUGCGUAGAUAUUAGGAGGAACACCAGUGGCGAAGGCGGCUUACUGGACUGUAAAUGACGCUGAGGCUCGAAAGCGUGGGGAGCAAACAGG